GUGUCAGCAGCCGCGGUAAUACAGAGGUCUCAAGCGUUGUUCGGAAUCACUGGGCGUAAAGGGUGCGCAGGCCGCGCGGGCAGUCAAAUGUGUAAUUCAGGGGCUCAACCCCUGGACUGCGCUUGAUACUUCCGUGCUAGAACCUUGGAGAGGAGUCUGGAAUUCUCGGUGUAGCAGUGAAAUGCGUGGAUAUCGAGAAGAACACUAACGGCGUAAGCAAGACUCUGGACAAGUGUUGACGCUCAUGCACGAAGGCUAGGGUAGCGAACGGGAUUAGAAACCCCGGUAGUCC
rnacentral:rRNA from 1 species